GGUGAACGCUGGCGGCGUGGAUGAGGCAUGCAAGUCGAAUGGGUUUAGACCCAUGGCAGACGAGGUAGGAACACGUAGGUACAUACCCCAAAGUCAGGGAUAAUCUGCCGAAAGGCAGGAUAAUACUUGAUGGUCCCGCAAGGGUAAAGAUUUAUCGCUUUGGGAAUGGCCUGCGGUCUAUCAGCUUGUUGGUAAGGUAACGGCUUACCAAGGCUACGACGGAUAGGGGAGGUGAGAGCCUGACCCCCACCGAUGGAACUGCGACACGGUCCAUACUCCUACGGGAGGCCGCAGUCGAGAAUCUUCCGCAAUGGACGAAAGUCUGACGGAGCGACGCCGCGUGGUUGAUGAAGUCCUUAGGGACGUAAAGACCUUUUAUGAGGGAAGAAGUUUAUUGACAUUACCUCAUGAAUAAGGGGCUCCCAAUUCUG
rnacentral:rRNA from 1 species